GCGGUGCUGCAGAGAGUCCGUGUGAUUUCAAGAUGGUGACAUAAUGGGGGACUUGAACGCGUUUCACACAUGCGUCUGAGGGAGAGGAUAAAAUUACACUCGUGUGUAAUUUAGUAAUGAUUUACGCCUGUUAAGCGUCAGUAUUUAGGCCAGAAUCAGCCGCGCCUUCCCUUCGCACGGCCCAGAAACCCACAGCUGAACUGCUUACAGUAAAUAUUCUGCUUUGUAACCGAAGCCCACGGGGGAUUCCUAAUUAGGAUCCACACACUCAGGUCAAAAUGAUGAUAGAGUCACUGCAGAGGAGUCGACCCGUCUGAUCGUCGCCGCGUGGACGCACAACUAGAUUCUCCACUCCAGCAUGAAGUGAUCUCGCUCCCUCUCUCAAUCAUUCCCAGCUGACUGCAGGGGGGGAAAUUAUCAUCACUGCCUCUGAAGCAUCAACAUGAAAGCUGAAUUUUCUUCAUCACUCGCAGCAAAAGGAUUUUUUUUUCUUCUGUGGGCACAAUAUACUUUAAAGACCCUGUGAGGUUGAACACUAUUUUGGUCUUAGAGCAAAAUGACUUCAGGUGAGGGCUGGAAUCAGUGGUGCUGGUGUGAUCGGCAUACUGAGUGACAGCGCGGCAAUAAAGCGGGAGGAGACAAGGUCAGAGAGAGCUGGUGGGAUGAAAGGAAGAUGAAUUUAAAAUGAAAUCAUCAACAUGAGUAAAGAAAAGGCAAGCGUCCAAAAAGGACAGAUUUAAGAAUCCAUCCUAAAAGCGAAUCCGUUAGUGCUGAAACCUAAGGGACAGCUUUGGCAAAUGUCAAUUCUAAGCCGUCACAGACAAAAGCCACUUAAAUACUGUGAAGAAGAGACACGAUGAGGAAGACGAGGCAGAUGCUACACGAUGAAGGUGCUGCUAGUGUAGCAUUAGCUGAGGGAGAGACGCCUGCAGCCAAAUGUGAAGUUUGUGUGUUCGUAUUAUAACGAGCGUGCAUUUAAGGAAGUAAAAAUUAAUGUUCAAAGUUGAAGUUAUGAUGGAUGGUUUGUAACGAGCUGUUUAGCAGCACGCUGAUUAAUGGUAAUGAUUAACCAGGGCGGUCAAUGCGCAAAUUCAUGAAGAUUAGGGAAUUAAAAAUGAGUUCAUUAAUGCAGUCGGUGCUGCAGUUUGCUGCUAUGUUUGAACGUGAAUAGAAAUGUUUGCAUUUAUGAUGGAUCAGGUGGUUGUUGACUACGAGGGACACACACACACACAACCAGGCUUCUCUCCACUCCCCUCCGAUGGAUGAGCCGAUGCGGCGUCUGUUGCUUUGACAGUCGACACCGGCUCUGUUUUUGUUCACUCUUUCCGCCUGUGCCGGUUGUUUACAGCAGCGGGAGGCGGCUGCUUCCAGUGAGGAGCUCUGCAGCAUCCUUCACAAAAGCUGCCGAGCAUCAAACGCGGCACACGGAGUCGGCAGUCGCCUGAUUAAGGUGGUGAAACUGUUUGAAAGCACGAGAAGCAGGAUUUUUCAUUCAGGAGGAACAAAAGAGUGAAUAUUGGACUAAAACCACUGUCAUCGUUGUCUAAAGUGCGUCGGGCUUGUUCUGCUGCCCCAAGUGGCCAGAAAAGGAAAUACACACAGUCAUAAUCUGACAUGGUGGAUUUAUGAUUAACCUGAUGAAGCACCACAGAAGGUAAUGUUACGUGAAGGCUUCGGUCAUUAAAGGUAAAAAUAAAACGGCCACUGAACAGCGUGAGAGACGUGAAGCAACGGGAGGAAAUUAUUCCCUUUUUCCCCAAUAACAGGCAUUUGGUUCAACUUUGAGAAUUCAAACAUGGGCCUGUUAAAAAUGCUCCGCGUUGACUUCCAGCUUCGUCAUGGCAACAGGCUCAUCAUUAUAACUUUUCUGUUCAUUCCUCAUUCUUGCCAGCUUCUAAAAAUUCCUUUCAUUUCAGACCUCAUCGUUAGUCGCAGCGGUCGUCCAGAACCACUCCACUCACCUGCUCGCUGCCUGCCUGCACACCUGCUCCGAAUUCCCUCAGAAGUUCCCCUCAGCAGCUGCACCAGUCGUUCUCACGUUGUUUUCAGAUUAAGUGCUGCUGUAGUCAGCUCCCCGCUCGCAAAACCAGCCCAGGUCCCGUCGUGCGGCCUGUGUGACCCUCUACAUGUUGUGGUUCUAUAAACUCCAGUCAAUCAAGGACAACGCCUCUACCCACAACCCACGAGGUGCUCAAUCAGCGGGCGGCUGAUCAAUACAUCUCAUUUCAAACCCACGCGCUUGACUUAUUAUUUUUUUUUAUUUUUGAGUGCACUUGUGAUGAAAAGUUCAUCUUCUGAUCUGGAGCGACUACGGUCAUUAGGAAUAAAUCACGCGGUGCUAAAACCUACACGCUCGUCUGUGCUCGGGGUUCCACACACCCGCGUUUUGCCAUCACACUCUGAAAAACGAGCCUCUCUCGGAGGAAAUGUUUAUGCAUCCUGCUGCAUUAACAAUGCAUGGCGGCUUAUUGAUUCAGCAUGGACCUCACAUUUGCUUUUUAUGAAACAGAAACCUGUGUUUCACCCCAUUAUGUUCAACACCGUACACAGCUUCGCAUUAUUCGUCUUUUAAACCCUGACUGCGCUCAUUUCAGUCGAAUUAUUUUUAAUACACAGGAACAAUCGUGACAUUCCUGAUGCCGCCCUGAUGGAAUUUAAUGUUUGAUUAGCGGCUCCACGCAGAGCCACGUGCGUUCUGUUGUAGUCUCGUUAGGAAGGAAAAUGAGUCGCCUGCUGCACCGAACCGGGGGGACUCAUGCGUGUCCUUUCCAGGUGUUCCCCGCAUAUUUAAACUCCAAAUUAGCUUUGCCUUUCACGCCACAGCAGAACCUCCGGUUCCCCGUCUGAUUCGCGGAGCUCACAGCACCAUCCGCCGGUCAGCUCCGUUUCCGUCGUCAUCGCCGCGUCCGCGUGCUAACCUCAACCCAGCGCGCGCGUCUGCCUCGUGCUCGUGCCCCGACAGGCCUGAAUUACACGUGUGAUCCCAGCGGGAGCCGGAGCCGGUGGACCCCGGAGGAGCGCCGUCCCCUGGCUGAUUGCUGAGCUGAAGAUCUGAUGAAGAGGCUAAUUAAAAGAGAUGAGGGCAUUAAUAGUGCAUGAGCCAGUGUGCGCGUGCGUGUGUGCGUUCGUGUGCAAGAAGAAACACCUACAAGGAUGUCAGGAGGACAUGACAUCAAUCCGGACCCCGUGUAAGUCUUCAGAUCUCUCUGUCCCGCUACAUCUGCACACGUAACAACAAACGAACGGCACGUGAGCACCAGGUGAGAGGGGUCACGGAGAGGCGGGGCCACGUUGCGUUAAUAAGCUCCACUCCGCUGCCAUGGCUACGAAAUAAGCAGCGACACACAAAGCAGCGCAGGCGAGCGAUCGUAUGAAAGAGGUGGGCAAGAUGGCACACAACAAAAGCAGCGCAGCAGUUGAGACUCUGUGUAAAUGCAAAUACAAAAGGUAACGAUGUGUACAAGUACACGUGUUAGAGGCAAUUUUCUCUGAGCAGUAUUUUAUAUGGAUUCAGCCUGUGACAGUAGUUUUCUGUGUGCGCUCUCCCAGAGUGUGAGCAGAGGGUUUGGAGCCUGUGCGGAAUGAAUAAGGACGGGUGAAAGAGUCAGAAACAGGGAGGCAGCGGAGUGUUAGAAGGUUAAAAAAUGGAUACGGAUUCUUCCUCCAAUGCAUAAUUUCUACAACAGGACACCUUCGUUCCCUCUUUUUUUUUUUUUU